GCUGACCAAAUGUCUCUUUGUUUUCACGGACAACAGGAGUGAAUCCUUCAGGCAGUGCUCAGGCUCACCCCACCAGAAGCAGUACACGAUCAACGCCACCCUCAGCUAGGUGACCUGCUGGAAGUGAUGUACUCUCUCACUCUGGGGGACACCAAGGUUGACUGUGUGCAGGGGCUGCAUUAGACGUGGCUCGGGAAGCGCACACUCCGCCUAAGUGGAGCAGAAGGGACCCACCUCGGACCCUCCAGGGAGCGUCAGUGAAUGGAUAUGCUAUUCCGAAAAAUAUAAUUAAGGAUGGUGUUUUACAAUGGGAGUCAAGAGCAGAAGGGGAGAACCCUGUAUGCCCAAUCUGCUGACUGGACUGGUAAGACAACACCCCAUCCAGCGACUAUUCGCAGCGACAGAGUAACGCAUUUGUUCCUAUUCAUUGCUCAAAAAUUGCUGGCUGUCAACCUCCCUUUCCCCAUGGUGUGCCAGUCAGGGUUGGUGUGCUGUUCAACUGUUGCCUUGCCAUAUAGCCCCCUGCUCCACCACCGACAGCGCCAUGCCAGCCAGGAUGCCUGCAUGCCCCAGGUGCCCCUAUUUUUUUUUAACAAUGUCUAGUACAGACUGGGAUGACAGGGAGGGUAGCGGUUGUUCUGGCUCAGGUUCAAGGAGCCAUGCCAUUCCACUGAACCUGCCCCGGAGACGGUACCUUAGUCACUGAAGAUCGUCCUCUGUGGGCUCUUGGGACAGAGGGUUCAAGUCUUCGGCCAGGUACAGAUCCCCCACUGACUGUAACUGGUUGGGCCACGGCUGGCUUCCUCCACUCGCAUUCCACAUCAGUACGGACGAUAUUAUGAACCGCCACGGAGGCAUUCACAUGUGGUAGAGAGAAUCCCCUGGUCACCUAUAGAGAUCUGCCAAGAGGAAGGAGGUUAAAUCAAAUCAAAGUUUACAGUGAAAUGCUUACUUACAGGCCCUAACCAACGGUGCAAUUUUUAAGUAAAAAAUAGGUAUUAGGUGAACAAUAGAUAAGAAAGAAAUAAGAAACAACAGUAAAAAGACGGUGAAAAAUGACAGUAGCGAGGCUAUUUAUAGUAGUGAGGCUAUAACAGUAGUGAGGCUAUAUACAGGCACCGGUUAGUCGGGCUAAUUGAGGUAGUAUGUACAUGUAGGUAUGGUUGAAGUGACUAUGCAAAUAUGAUAAACAGAGAGUAGCAGGAGUGUAAAAGAGGGGUGGUGGGUGGUGGGACACAAUAAAGAUAGUCUGGGUAGCCAAUGUGAGGGCACCGGUUAGUCGGGCUAAUUGAGGUAGUAUGUACAUAUGUACAUGAACGUAUAGUUAAAGUGACUAUGCAUAUAUGAUAAACAGAGAGUAGCAGCAGCGUAAAAAGAGGGGUUGGGGGAGCCACAAUGCAAAUAGUCCAGGUAGCCAUUUGAUUACCUGUUCAGGAGUCUUGUGGCUUGGGGGUAAAAGCUGUUGAGAAGCCUUUUGGUCCUAGACCUGGGACUCCGGUAUCGCUUGCCGUGAGGUAGUAGAGAGAGCAGUCUAUGACUGGGGUGGCUGGGGUCUUUGACAAUUGCCCAUGUCUUUCAAUGCAUGACUGUGAACACCUUGAAAUGCAGUCGUUGUAAGAAAUGUGCUAUAUAAAUAUAUUUUUAUUUGAUUGAUGACAUUACAACUGUAGAAUAUUUAAUAAACUGUGAUUUUCACAUGAGGACAAAGUGCAGUUUUUCCAUAAACCUGUAAUUGAUCAUUGGAGAUUUUGUCACUUUACAUAUCAAUCGUAUAGUGGGAAGAAUCCUAUAAAUCAAAACUGUGAAUGCAUGUACCACUCUGAAUAAAUAAAUACUGUGCCUUUGAAGAUUUGUCUCUGGUCAUGAAACUACAAUACAGGCUGGAUGUCAAAACAAAGUAAGUUCUG
ensembl:lncRNA